rnacentral:tRNA from 1 species
GACUCGUUAGCUCAGUUGGUAGAGCAAUUGACUUUAAUCAAUGGGUCGCUGGUUCGAGCCCAGCACGAGUCA